ensembl:lncRNA
UUCAUACCUGAAAGUCUCCCAAUUUUGGAAAAUGCAGCCUAGAGGGCUGCAAGGGGGAACUGAGUACUUCCCGUUUUGAAGGGGCUUUGCUUCCAGGUGGUCUCAGUAAUGAAGUCUUUCUAAGGGUCCUUGCUGCCAUUACCAAGCUCAAUCCCCAAGUGUCAAUUCUUUUAUUAUUUACUUAUUUUUGGCUGGGCUGGGUCUUCAUUGCUGCACACACGGGUUUUCUCUAGUUGCAGAGAGCGGGAGCUACUGUAUGUUGUGGUUCACGGGCUUCUCAUUGCGGUGACUUCUCCAGUUGCGGAGUGCAGGCUGUGGGGUGCUCAGGCUUAAUUGCUCCAUGGCAUGUAGGAUCCUCCCAGGCCAGGGCUCAAACCUGUGUCCCCUGCAUUGGCAGGCAGAUUCUUUACCACUGAGCCAUCAGGGAAGUCCCCCCAACAGGCAAUUAUGAACAACUGAAACAAUAAGAUGAAGAUGGACAGAGACAAGACCCAAACAAGAUCAGCAACCAAAAACCCUUGGCCUCCAACGCAGGUAGAGGGUACCUCAGCAGCUGUGACUUUUGUAUUGUCUGCCAGAAUCCUUCCAGGUAGAUGGGCCCCCAGCCCAUGACCUGGUCAGGGUUAUCGGAUGGUUUAAGCACUGCUGGAUUUCUUUGAUGCGGUUACUCACCCAGAAGACAUCUUCCAAACUAGCUUCUGUGAAAUGAAAUGUCGGUGCAAUGAAGCUACAAGGAGGUUGUGGGAGCGGGCACCCACUCAUGCUGGGGGAGGUGGAGGGUGGGUGGUUCCAUCCAGCCUUAACCGGCUUAGCUGAGGCUCCAAGGUCCCGGAAAAUAACCCAGGCACUGUUCAGGCUACCUGCUGCUGGAGAGAACACCCAAGUGUCCUUGAUUAGUGGAGACAGGUGAAAUGGAUUUGAUCAAUCAUCACGUACCGUUUCAAAACCAUUGCUCCUGUGUCUGUAAAGAGCAAGGCCAUCUUUGCUUAGGUCUAUGGCUCAAUUGAGUCAAGUUCCCAUUUGGAAACCAAGCAAAGUGGACAGAGUUAGUGACAUCCCUAAUUGACUUCGGUCUGGACUCCUGAACCAAACACUGGCCAGAGGGCUGGGACCACACGACGAACGUUAGGCUUAGAUGUAUCAGGUGCCUCCCAGGUUAUCGCUGCUCACCUCCACCUGCAAACUGGCAUCACUGCCAGACCACACGGCUGCUCCAUGGUGGCGGUAGGAGGUUGGAGCUUAUAGGGAGAAGCCCAGUAUCCCCAAUGAUUCCUUUGCCUGAACACACACCCGUACCAUACAACCCAGUAACCCUACUCCUAGAUAUUCAAGAAAAUUGACAGCUUCCUUCCACACACAGACUUACAUUUGAAUGUCCAUAGCAUUGUAUUCAUAAUGGCCGUAAACUGGAGACAACCAACUAGAGAGAUGAUAAACAGAUUCUGACUUAUCCCUACAAAGAAAGGAACUCCUAUCAGUAAAGGUGGCAACCUGAACAUGUCCUUAAAAGCUCGUGCUGUUGCUAAAGAAGCACACAGUACAUAAUGUACAGUUCAUGUGAAAUCCCAGAACAAGCAGUUUGCCUGGGGCUGGAGGUCAGGAGAAAGAGCACUGACCACAAACGGACAGGAGGGAACUUCCUGGAACUACUCCAUGUCUUGACUGGCAGUGGUUUGGGUGCCUACAGUCUUCAGAAGGUACCCUCUUGAUUUUUCAUCUUUGGCCAUACCAUGAAGCCUGUGGGAUCUUAGUUCCUUGACUGGG